AUACUUAUCUGGCAGGGGAGACACCUUGAUCAUGAAGGAGGUUUUCCCAGGGUGAGGCUCAGACACUGAACUCUGGCUGUGCUGAUUCCGGUGCUUUCCCCUAACAACCACCACCACCACCACCAAGCUGCUGGGAAUAUUUUCCAAUUUGUUUACAAAUCU
rnacentral:snRNA from 1 species